rnacentral:lncRNA from 1 species
UUCAACCGUCCGAUUGAAGAUUAAAUCGAUUAUUUAGAUCUACGAUCAGAUAUCUGUUUUAGGUCUGUGGCUGUUUAGAAGAAGUGCAAAAACAAAACACUAUCCUCCGUCUUCACAAAAAUUUUAAUUGCAGGUGCCUCUAAGAACCCUAAUUCCCCCCCCCCCCUCUCUCUCUCUCUCUCGUCUUCUCCACUUUUUAAUUUUUCUUCCAAAAUCUCGGUGCCCACUCAUCUUCUCCCUAAUUCCCUCUUCCCACUCGUCUUCUCUAUGUUCACCACAACGAAUUGAAGGUAUGGUUUUUGUGAUUCAGUUAAAAUUGGUGAUUCAGGUUUUCAUUAGAACUUUUUUCCUUGCAAUCUCUCUCUCUCUCUCUCUCUCUCUCUCUCUCUCUCUCUCUCU